AAACCAACCGGGAUUGCCUUAGUAACGGCGAGUGAAGCGGCAAAAGCUCAAAUUUGAAAUCUGGUACCUUCGGUGCCCGAGUUGUAAUUUGGAGAGGGCAACUUUGGGGCCGUUCCUUGUCUAUGUUCCUUGGAACAGGACGUCAUAGAGGGUGAGAAUCCCGUGUGGCGAGGAGUGCGGUUCUUUGUAAAGUGCCUUCGAAGAGUCGAGUUGUUUGGGAAUGCAGCUCUAAGUGGGUGGUAAAUUCCAUCUAAAGCUAAACAUUGGCGAGAGACCGAUAGCGAACAAGUACAGUGAUGGAAAGAUGAAAAGAACUUUGAAAAGAGAGUGAAAAAGUACGUGAAAUUGUUGAAAGGGAAGGGCAUUUGAUCAGACAUGGUGUUUUGUGCCCUCUGCUCCUUGUGGGUAGGGGAAUCUCGCAUUUCACUGGGCCAGCAUCAGUUUUGGUGGCAGGAUAAAUCCAUAGGAAUGUAGCUUGCCUCGGUAAGUAUUAUAGCCUGUGGGAAUACUGCCAGCUGGGACUGAGGACUGCGACGUAAGUCAAGGAUGCUGGCAUAAUGGUUAUAUGCCGC
rnacentral:rRNA from 1 species